GUAGGUGGCAAGCGUUGUCCGGAAUUAUUGGGCGUAAAGCGCGCGCAGGCGGUUCUUUAAGUCUGAUGUGAAAGCCCACGGCUCAACCGUGGUGGGUCAUUGGAAACUGGAGAACUUGAGUACAGAAGAGGAAAGCGGAAUUCCACGUGUAGCGGUGAAAUGCGUAGAGAUGUGGAGGAACACCAGUGGCGAAGGCGGCUUUCUGGUCUGUAACUGACGCUGAGGCGCGAAAGCGUGGGGAGCAAACAGGAUUAGAUACCCUGGUAGUCCACGCCGUAAACGAUGAGUGCUAAGUGUUAGGGGGGUUUUCCGCCCCCCUUAGUGCUGCAGCUAACGCAUUAAGCACUCCGCCUGGGAGUACGGCCGCAAGGCUG
rnacentral:rRNA from 1 species